ACGUUAAGAUGAAAGCUGCGCAGCGUUUCCUGGGUGAAGGCAGCAAAGUCAAAGUUACGAUCAUGUUCCGCGGCCGCGAAAUGAGCCAUCCGGAACUGGGCCGUGAUUUGCUGGUUCGAUUCGCUGAUGAAUUGAAAGACACCGCCCAUGUAGAAAAAGAACCUAAAAUCGAAGGCAGAAACAUGACCAUGGUCAUCGCUGUCAACAAGAAGUAACAGGAGGACAAUUAUUAUGCCGAAAUUGAAAACUCGCCGUGCUGCGGCAAAACGCUUUAACACAACUGGUACAGGUAAAAUCAA
rnacentral:misc_RNA from 1 species